GACGAACGCUGGCGGCGUGCUUAACACAUGCAAGUCGAACGGAAAGGCCCUGCUUUUGUGGGGUGCUCGAGUGGCGAACGGGUGAGUAACACGUGAGUAACCUGCCCUUGACUUUGGGAUAACUUCAGGAAACUGGGGCUAAUACCGGAUAGGAGCUCCUGCUGCAUGGUGGGGGUUGGAAAGUUUCGGCGGUUGGGGAUGGACUCGCGGCUUAUCAGCUUGUUGGUGGGGUAGUGGCUUACCAAGGCUUUGACGGGUAGCCGGCCUGAGAGGGUGGCCGGCCACAUUGGGACUGAGAUACGGCCCAGACUCCUACGGGAGGCAGCAGUGGGGAAUAUUGCACAAUGGGCGGAAGCCUGAUGCAGCAACGCCGCGUGCGGGAUGACGGCCUUCGGGUUGUAAACCGCUUUCGCCUGUGACGAAGCGUGAGUGACGGUAAUGGGUAAAGAAGCACCGGCUAACUACGUGCCAGCAGCCGCGGUGAUACGUAGGGUGCGAGCGUUGUCCGGAUUUAUUGGGCGUAAAGGGCUCGUAGGUGGUUGAUCGCGUCGGAAGUGUAAUCUUGGGGCUUAACCCUGAGCGUGCUUUCGAUACGGGUUGACUUGAGGAAGGUAGGGGAGAAUGGAAUUCCUGGUGGAGCGGUGGAAUGCGCAGAUAUCAGGAGGAACACCAGUGGCGAAGGCGGUUCUCUGGGCCUUUCCUGACGCUGAGGAGCGAAAGCGUGGGGAGCGAACAGGCUUAGAUACCCUGGUAGUCCACGCCGUAAACGGUGGGUACUAGGUGUGGGGUCCAUUCCACGGGUUCCGUGCCGUAGCUAACGCUUUAAGUACCCCGCCUGGGGAGUACGGCCGCAAGGCUAAAACUCAAAGGAAUUGACGGGGCCCCGCACAAGCGGCGGAGCAUGCGGAUUAAUUCGAUGCAACGCGUAGAACCUUACCUGGGUUUGACAUGGAUCGGGAGCGCUCAGAGAUGGGUGUGCCUCUUUUGGGGUCGGUUCACAGGUGGUGCAUGGCUGUCGUCAGCUCGUGUCGUGAGAUGUUGGGUUAAGUCCCGCAACGAGCGCAACCCUUGUUCACUGUUGCCAGCACGUUAUGGUGGGGACUCAGUGGAGACCGCCGGGGUCAACUCGGAGGAAGGUGGGGAUGACGUCAAGUCAUCAUGCCCCUUAUGUCCAGGGCUUCACGCAUGCUACAAUGGCUGGUACAGAGAGUGGCGAGCCUGUGAGGGUGAGCGAAUCUCGGAAAGCCGGUCUCAGUUCGGAUUGGGGUCUGCAACUCGACCUCAUGAAGUCGGAGUCGCUAGUAAUCGCAGAUCAGCAACGCUGCGGUGAAUACGUUCCCGGGGCU
rnacentral:rRNA from 1 species